ensembl:snoRNA
ACCCUUUUGCAGUUCACAAGUGUGAUGAUUGGGGUUUCAUGCUUAUAUGUGAGAUGUGUCUCUCUCUCAAACUUUGUUAAGACCUGAGCACCUUACCUGUCAUAAA